rnacentral:rRNA from 1 species
GACGAACGCUGGCGGCGUGCUUAACACAUGCAAGUCGAGCGGGGUCCAACCAGUGGCAACACUGGGGAAGACCUAGCGGCGAACGGGUGAGUAACACGUGAGGAACCUGCCCCGAAGUCUGGGAUAACCCGAGGAAACUCGAGCUAAUACCGGAUGUCUUCCUCCGAUCGCAUGGUCGGAAGAAGAAAGAAUUUCGCUUCGGGAGGGCCUCGCGGCCUAUCAGCUUGUUGGCGGGGUAACGGCCCACCAAGGCAUCGACGGGUAGCUGGUCUGAGAGGACGAUCAGCCACACUGGGACUGAGACACGGCCCAGACUCCUACGGGAGGCAGCAGUGGGGAAUAUUGCGCAAUGGGCGAAAGCCUGACGCAGCAACGCCGCGUGCGGGAUGAAGGCCUUCGGGUUGUAAACCGCUUUCAGUGGGGACGAAAUUGACGGUACCCACAGAAGAAGCCCCGGCCAACUACGUGCCAGCAGCCGCGGUAACACGUAGGGGGCGAGCGUUGUCCGGAUUUAUUGGGCGUAAAGAGCUCGUAGGCGGCUCAGUAAGUCGGGUGUGAAAACUCCAGGCUCAACCUGGAGACGCCACCCGAUACUGCUGUGGCUAGAGUCCGGUAGGGGAGCAUGGAAUUCCUGGUGUAGCGGUGAAAUGCGCAGAUAUCAGGAGGAACACCAGUGGCGAAGGCGGUGCUCUGGGCCGGAACUGACGCUGAGGAGCGAAAGCGUGGGGAGCAAACAGGAUUAGAUACCCUG